UCCAGCCCUCUUCAGCUCUCUUCACAUAAAAAUAAAUAGUAAAUACAUAUUGAUGGAACAAUAAAUUAAAGCAAUGAGAAAUUAAGUGCAAUCCAUCUCUUUAUUGUAGAUUACUUUAUUUUGGAACCUAAGCCCAUUUGUUGGUUGACAUUCUACUUUCUACCGGAUGAAAACACUGGGAUGCUUUGCUCAUUCCUAAAGAAGUUGCCGGGAUCAACCAAGGUCUUAACAUGAACAAGUUUCCUGAAGUUGUUCUUGAAGUACUUCAAACCCCAAAUGCUUGCUUGUGCAUAGCUUGUAUUGCCAUUAUUGUUCCUCCCCAAAUCAAGAUCCCUAUAAUUCAGAUAGGCAGCUCUAGGAGACUUUGAAACAUACGGUGCCAUGUAUGCAUACAACCUUCUCAUAAAUCCAAUAUACUUNNNNNNNNNNNNNNNNNNNNAUAGGCCCUCGUAAUCGUGCCCCCCGCUUCGGCUUCUUAUUUGUAGGCCAUUUUUCUCGGAGCAAAUUACAGCUGCUUGAACAUGAGAUUCAUCAAAAGGAGUUAUGAUGGCCUCUGGUUUUGGUGUGGAAUUGUUCGAGAAUCUGAGGUUCUGUAUGGAAGAAUCUAACACUGAAGGAUAAGCUGAACUGGUUCUGGUGAGAAUGAUUUCAUUACUGGAGUUAGAGUUCUGAAUGUGGGAGGAAAGGCAUUGCACAAAGCUUUCAGAAAUGGAGCUUGAAGCUAUGGACCAAGCUGAGUUGAGAAGGAUGAAAAGUAGGGGAAAUAGCUUUGCAUGAGAGGUCUCCAUAUUCAUUUCCUCAGCAUAAAAGAUGUGAAAUGCUCUGAGCUUUACUAACAUACAUAUAUGUGUGUAAGUCGUCUGUUGAUGUGAAACCGUAGGUUCCGCUUUCUAGCACUUUUUUAGUAUUAGUGGGGUAAGUCAUCUAUUGUUGUUUUGUCCAUUUCUAAAUUGAUAUGAACGAGUCUCCAACAAUAAUUCUGAAAACCUAAAAUUCAAGCAAUGCAGCUCCAAUUAAGCAGAUCGAUAUCUGAAAACCUAUAGUUCAAACAAUGCAGCUCUAAUUAAGCACAUCGAUUUCUGAAAACCUAAUUAGUUAAGCACGCCGAUAUUGCAUGUUUCUACAACCUUGAAAUGUUUUUUUUUUUUUCAUCAAAACUUUGUUGGAUAUAAAUUUCAUAUUGGAAAUAUAUAACUUUCCCUAUGGGGUUAUAAGAGUUUAUGUCACUUCAUCUACUGUCAAUUGGUUUUGAAUAUGAACCUCAUACUACUUCAUCACAAUAUUAGAGCAGAUUACGCACGUCUAUGUGUGAAUGCGUAACGGCCACACAGACUUCACGUCCACGUGUGCGGAGGCGUGUUAAGAUACAAAUCCUAUAUUAGAAAUAUGAGACCUUGUUUACGGGUUACUACUUUAUCAAACUUGUGGAACUAUGAUCGACACACGAUUUUUUUGGCAAAAAUAUCACACUCCACCCAUAAUCACGAUAAUUUCAUCAUAUAAGAACACUAGCUAGUGCAAUUUUAGAGGUGUGUCAUGUAAUUAGGGCCACCAGUUUGAGUGACACACAUUCGAAUAAUACUGAGUGGAUGGUUAAUCAUUGGAAACCACAGGUCCAACUGAGAUAUGUAAAUAAGGCAUGCACGCCAAGUUAGAAGAAAUCUAUCUGCAGGGUGGUGUCAUAUUAGCUCGAACACAUAUUUGGAGUAGAGACAACAACUAGUUUCUAGAUUUCUGGUAUAGUUUGGUACUAGUCUUUGUCCUACGCGUUGCUGCGAUUGAUUUUCGUGUUUAGUUAGUACUGGUGAUGAUUAAAAAUAGGAUCAUAUAUCUAGAAAUUACGCACACUAUUUGCUGCAGGUGGGUUUCAGAAUGUACGUAAAAACAUGAACCCUGUAAUGAAAUGGCGUCGCAUUGUUCAAUCUCAUAUUCACUAUGUAUUGCAUAUAUUACUGAAACCAACAAUUUUACUUUUAAAAAAAAUAUGGAAUCAAUAACAAAGCCCUUUCUUAUGUCAUUUUUCGGUGAAACAAUUAUACAUUUCUAUGGUUCAUGAUAUUGGUCCUUGGCUUGGAGUUGAUUGACCGUGCCAAUUGAUUUGGGGAUUCAACACACUUGUCUGGAAGAGCAUACACCCAAUAGUGUUCUUUGCACAAUUGCUCCCAAAUUUGUAAUCUCUGCGUUGCAUAACUUUCUGCUAGUCAAGCUAAUGAUAAACAACAACAACACUACAACAUGAAUGCUAAAAAUAAUAGAGAAGCAUUGCAUGAUUAUCGCAAGACCUAAAUAUUAGAAUUAUGACCACAUGACAUUGAAUAAUACCACACUAAGAGAGAAAAUGGUAAAAUGGUAUGAUCUGUAUAUAAUUACAUAUACAAUAUUAAGAGCAGAAUCAUAUAAGAAUGAAUAAAAAAAAAAUUAUGACCCAUUCUUCUUCAAGUAGACAUCCAUAUCUAUUUGUCUGCCACCAAACAAUGAAUUUUGUUUGUUUGUUUAUUACACCACAAAUAUUAAACAUGACAAAUUUUUCUAUCAUUUUGCUGUUAGUAAUGGUAUGUGAAGGAUUUAGAUUGUAUAUUUAUCUGCAAUAGCUUAAUGUUCUUUUUGCGAAAUUGUUCAAAAACGUUAACUUUAGUACAGAACUGAUAUGUAUGUAGAGAUCAUUACAACCAUGCAUGUUAACUAUUAAAUUGAAUCUCAUAACCUAUAUGCAUUAAAGAUUAAGCUAUGUGUUUGUAUAAAUUUAAAAGUUUCUAAACACAAUAUGCAAAUAAGACUCCAUGUUUAAGCUGAUGGUUUCAAUACCCACAAAUAGAAGAACUGAUUUCAAUACCCAAAAAAAGAAGAAGAAAGAAAUCAAUGUUCAUCAAUUUACAGAUGAAUAAGAACCUUUAUAGGGAGGCUAUAUAUUCUUCUUCUCAUAAUAAAAGCUGAUUUCCCCAGGCUAUGUUAUACUAAAUCCCAAAUCAGCUUAUCACCAAUUGCUUUGAACCAUGAAAUAUAAAGUCUUCCAACUCUGGACGAAGGCGUAAACUUAGAGAAGGAAUCGAUGACACGAUCAUUUCAAAACCACAAAAACAAAAUCAGACUGAGAGCAGAGAGCAUGCAGAAAAAGAAUCAGUAGAAACAAUGGACAAAACUCAAAAAAGAAAAGAACGCGCAACAUGGCCAUACUGUUUGAGCCCAGUGGGUAUUUUUGGUCCAAGACUCAGGGUACGUUUUGGAUAACAUUUGGGCCUUUACCUGUGGCCCUUUUUUUAAUGCGAAGCCCACGAAGGGUGGCGAAGUCUGGCAACACGCGAGUUGGAAUUGUGUAAGGAUUCUGAUACCUCGCGGGAUUCGAUGUCCUCGCGGGAUCCUUUGUUCUAGUUCGUGUAGGAUUCUACAGUGCAUGGCGAGGUAGAGUUGGAAAUGGACUGUAGUACCCGCGGGAUAGGAUCGCUUAGUGCUCGAGUUCGCGUACGACGCUACAGUGAUAUGAUGCGGGGCGGUGAGCGAGACCUAGGCGAAGUCUGUUUUGGACACGUGUUGCAUGGAUCGCGCGGCUCGCGAGCUGGUCGUUUCCUGGUGGAAUUCUAAUUGCUGAGUCCGAAUGGAUUUGUGAUUAGGUCUCUGCGAAUUGUUUGCGGAUCGCUAUAUAAGGGAGCUUGACACAACGAACAAGACACACAAUCAAUCAUACAAAACAACUGCAAAUCUUCGAGCAUCCUCGAAACCCUAAGUUCUAAAUGCACCUCGCCUUAGAUCUCAGAGCCCGUCUGGACUCGCCUCUCUUUCCCAAUUGUUGCUUUGCUCGCUUCGAACAGUGAGUAUCGAUUCACAGGUGACUAGAUAGUUUGCUCGUAAUUCCUCGCCCGCGAGGUGACACUGGAGCUCUACUUCGCCUGAUUAGAAGUCAAGAACGCGCACCAUUCUCGUUCCGCGUCCGCGCGGUGGCAUGCCCUGCAAACCCUAAUUUACUUUUGGUAGCACAAGUUACCUUUCUACCCCUGCUGAGGAUCGUGGCCAAAACACAUACAACAACAACAACCAAGAACAUCUGGCAAGUGGUGGCGGCAAUAUAAAGUAAAUAAAAAUAAAAUAGGGGCAAAACCGUAAAAACACACGGUCUCUAGGGCAGUAUAUAGUAAAUACUGCUCAAGUGCUCAGCUUUUGAACCCAAUUAUUUUAACAAUUCAUUUUUUUUUUAAUAUUUUUUUUUUAUGCUGUUCGUGUUCGUCGGAGGAUGAGGAUCCACUACUCACUUUCAAGUAAAUGAAAUAGCAUUCUACCUAGCUAGCUAGGUUUGUUGUCAUCUGUUGUUCGCUCUGAUGAUAAGUCUAUCUUUUAUGUUUAAAACAGUCGCAAGAUAAGUACUUUAAUGGAAGCCUUUUUAUAUAUGAUCUCAGGAAGAAGAUAGGUAUUGAUGAUUUCAUGCAUACAUACUCAUUCGAAGAGAAAACACUGCCUUAAGAACUAGUGGAUAUCUGGAUAUAUAGAGUAGAGAGGCACCCUUGUGAAUCUUCGCGAUCGUUAGACAAUAAAUAUGAUGAGGAUUUACAAAAAAAACAUCUUUAAAUAGCUCAUUUCCCUUUCAUAUAGUGGUAUAGUCUUUUCUUCAUAAAUAUGAAAUGAGGUGAUACAAACUUGACGUGAUUAUCUUAAAAAUCAAUUUAACUCUCAAAUAUUAUAUUUAGUUCUGUGUAAUACAUCAAAUAUAUCAUGAGAAAUUGUUAGGUAAUUUAUAAUUGGAGCAAAUUUAUUUAAAGUCACCAAGUUUUUGCAUAUAUAGGUUUGUUCUUUUUAAACAAAUUAAUUAGGAUCAAUGUCCACUAACCAUUUUUUUGAGACAUCAAAUGUUCUUUAGGGCUCCAAAAGAGCUAGAAUUAAAGCCCAACCUGUCUAUCUCGUUGACCCAAUCCCAUUUUGCUGACAUUGUUCAUCUUUGACAACGAACAUUUCGUUCUCUCUCUAGAGACUUCAUGGAAAUAUUAGGGAGGAGGUGUGGAUAGCAUCUUGUUUAUUAGUAAAAGUAAGAUAAAUGUCUAAUUAAGUAAGGAGGUUCAAGUGUCAAACUACCAAUUUUGACGAAAUGAAUGAAAACUUCAUAAAUUAAAUGAGAAAAUAAAAUUACUGAUAAAGAUUAAAGAGAUAUUAAAUGAGAAAUUUGCUGUAAACAUAUAUAACUACUUCGGAUCAUAUCAAUCAUAACAAGGCAACAAUGUAUCAAGAUGGUGCAAUCGUACUAAUCCAUACUUUAGUUCUUGAUUCAUAUUUCAUGCUAGUUUCAUUCUAAAAAUAACGUAUUUAUGAUUAUUUAGAAAUUUCUAGAUUAGUUAUCUUCAUUAUCUCAACAAAAUGAAUAAGUCACGGUGUAUGCUGCAUAUGACAUUAUAUAUGAGUUGAUCAUAAAAACAAUACAUGCAACACAUUAUUUCCUUGAUCAUGUUAAUGCAAAUACACAUGAUAAAGAUGCAUAUGUACAAUAUACAAUGAUAGGUUCCGUUACUUAGUUGGUUAAGAUGUUUAAUUAACAACUUUGAUGUCAUGAGUUUAAAACCCACUAACAUAUGUAUGGGGUAUGAGUUAUUAACAAAAAUUAAAAAAAGAAAAUCAAGGUUCCCGUCCAGCCCUCCUCAGCUCUCUUCACAUAAAAAUAAAUAGUAAAUACAUAUAGUUGGAACAAUAAAUUAAAGCAACGAGAUCUUUGCCCAAAUGACAAGUUGAUUCACUUUCAGGCCUUCAAAACUUGAGAAUGGCAACUCUAGGUUUCAUUAUUAUUAGAAUUAAAUUCAGUUUACCCCCUUGUGGUUUGGGGGUGACUUCAUGUUAGUCCCUACACUUUUAUUUUCAUCAGUUUACCCCUUGAACUCUUCAAUUUCUGUCUGCCGUGUCCAAAUUCUCAUAUUCCGUUUGAAUUGACUUUUAAUUAUCAACAGUUAAGGUCCGAUUUGGACAUAUAAGGUCUGAUUUGCCUAAAUUCUAGAUAAUGACCUCACAGUUAAGGUUAAAAUUAUCAGCAGUUAACGUCCGAUUUAGACAGAAUAUAGGACAUUUGGUCACGCUUAAGGAAAGUUCUAAAGUUUGAGGGGUAAACUGAUGAAAUUGAAAGUAUAAGGAUUAACAUGAAGUUACUCUCAAACCUCAUGGGGUAAACUGAAUUUAAUUCUUAUUAUUAAUUUUGAAUGAGAAAUUAAGUCCAAUACAUCUCUUUAUUGUUUGUUACUUUAUUUUGGAACCUAAGCCCAUUUGUUGGUUGACAUUCUACUUUCUAUCUGAUGAAAACACUGGGAUGCUUUGCUCAUUCCUAAAGAAGUUGCCAGGAUCAACCAAGGUCUUAACAUGAACAAGUUUCCUGAAGUUGUUCUUGAAGUACUUCAAACCCCAGAUGCUUGCUUGUGCAUAGCUUGUAUUGCCAUUAUUGUUCCUCCCCAAAUCAAGAUCCCUAUAAUUCAGAUAGGCAGCUCUAGGAGACUUUGAAACAUACGGUGCCAUGUAUGCAUACAACCUUCUCAUAAAUCCAACAUACUUCUCAGUAUCCUUUCCAUCAUCCCAAACAACCAUAUACUGGAUUUCAUAUAUGUUUCCUCGUCGAUGUGGGAAAGCAGUUUCUGAAUCGGCAAUCUCACUCAUUUUUCCUCCAUAUGGUGUCAAUAUCAUGAAGGAUGUGUUUGCUUCAACCAACCUCUGCCAUAAGCCUUCCAAGCCAGCUUCUGAGAUUGGCUCAGUCACAUAGUCUGAUUUUGCUUUGAAGAUAAUGCUGAAUUGCCGGCGCUUCAGCAAAAUCUCUAAGGAUUCGUGUAUCGAGUAGCCAGCAAAGUCUAAAACAGACUGAAUCCAACUCAUCUCGGUGCAAUGGCUUCUUCCUAAACUCAACUCUGGGAAGUUGUCCUGCAUCAAAUGGAAAAGUUUCUCAACCGGGCCAAGAAACAAGGAACCGAAUUCAACUAUAAUAGUCUUGUCACCACUUCUUAUAACUAGACGUAUGAAAAGUUCUUCAGGAAGCUUGUCUGCAAUGUUUUGCCAUUUCAAAAGAAGUUUGGUUGCGUCUUGUUCUUUUGUCUUUGUAAUGUGGCAAACUGUUACAGCAGGGGGAACAGGAACCAGUCUAAGUUUCCAUGCUAGAAUGACUCCAAAGCUUGAUCCACCUCCUCCUCUGAUAGCCCAAAAGAGCUCUUCUCCCAUGGACUUUCUAUCUAGAAUUCUGCCAUUAACAUCUACAAUUCUGGCAUCAAUGACAUUGUCAGAUGCUAGACCAUAUUUUCGGAAUAUGGUUCCAAUUCCACCUCCACUGAUAUCGUCCCCCAACACCAACGGUGGGACAAAUCCCUGCUGGAAAGCCAUAGACUUUACUCUUCUGUGCAAUGCUGUAAUACACCUCUCCAAGAGUAGCACCUGAUUUGACCCAAGCACUCUCAUUCUCUAUGUCAACAUCGAUGGAACGAAGAUUGAACAGAUCAAUGAUGAUGAAAGGAGCUCUGGACACAUAAGAUAGGCCCUCGUAAUCGUGCCCCCCGCUUCGUGUUCUUAUUUGUAAUCCAUUUUUCUUGGAGCAAAUUACAGCUGCUUGAACAUGAGAUUCAUCAAAAGGAGUUAUGAUGGCCUCUGGUUUUGGUGUGGAAUUGUUCGAGAAUCUGAGGUUCUGUAUGGAAGAAUCUAACACUGAAGGAUAAGCUGAACUGGUUCUGGUGAGAAUGAUUUCAUUACUGGAGUUAGAGUUCUGAAUGUGGGAGGAAAGGCAUUGAACAAAGCUUUCAGAAAUGGAGCUUGAAGCUAUGGACCAAGCUGAGUUGAGAAGGAUGAAAAGUAGGGGAAAUAGCUUUGCAUGAGAGGUCUCCAUAUUCAUUUCCUCAGCAUAAAAGAUGUGAAAUGCUCUGAGCUUUACAUACAUACAUAUAUGUGUGCGUGAACUUACAUUCAUUUGAAGUCCAAUGAAGACAAGUCAAUGCCGUAUGCUUCUGUCUUUCUCUUUGUUUUCCUAUCAGUUUGAGGAAAAUUCCACAAGUGACUUGUCAAUAAUUUACAAUACGUAAGGCAAUAAAUAAAAGACGGACAGCUAAACUCUACUUUUCGUAAGACGUUGUUCAAUGAAUUGAAAUGUCAAUUCUCUCAUCUAUGUUAUCUAGUGCAUGGAGGUUUUCAUCAGAAUUCAAAUGAGAUUUGUUUUCUAGUAUAUUGACUAAUGUAUGCUUAUGAAUAUGGAUAUAUACAAUACUGAAUGAAAUUGAAGAAGACUAACAUUCAAAUACUGAUGCUGAUUAUGUAGCUCAAUCUAAUGUUAUAUAUUAUUGUCCGUAAAUAAACAAGAAAACCAUCUAGAACACAGCUGCUUCUGUAUUGUCAUAUGGUACGUCAAGCUUAUUUGUUGGUUAAGGCAGCCAUGGCCAGAUUAUAUCGUCUGCCUCUUCUGCACAUUGGUGGAGAAAAAUGCCUGGAAGAACAGUAAACAUAUGAAAUCGUAUUCUACUUUUGGCCUAUUUAUUGUUUUCUUCUCUCGGCCAAAGCUGAUUAAUUUAUUUUUUAGUCUUAUUUUCCCCUAGUUGUACUUGGGAACACAGGGAUGCUUUGUUCAUUUCUAAAGAAGUUAGAAGGAAUCAAGGAUCAACCAGGAUCUUAACAUAAACAAGUCUCCUAAAAUUGUUUUUGAAAUACUUCAAACCCCAAAUGCUUACUUUUGCAUGCGUAGCUUGUAUUGCCAUCAUUGAUGUUCCUUCUCACGUCAAGAUCCUGUUAUUCAAAUGGACACCUCUUGAGGGCUAAGAAACAUAUUGGUGUCAUGUAUGCAUAUAAACUACGAAGCUGAAGAACAAUGGCAAACUAAAAGGAAAGAAGAUCCUUGAAUGACAUCGGCUCUGGGGAUGACAUUGUAUUGGAUAUAUCAGUAAAUAACUCAUUCCUGCACAAUGGCUUCUGCAAUGUUCAGUUUGUCAAAUACUACAAACUGCUGCAUUCUGAGAGAGUGAUCUGCUUACUUGUUUUAGUAUCUUGUUCUAGGUAAAGCGGGGAAUCAAGGCUUAUGUUGAUAUUGCUAACAAUUCAUUUUCAACUAUAAAUCUGUCCACUGCACAGGAAUAUUCUUUCAUUAUAUUUCCAACCACCACGCCAGAACCAACAUUUAUUUGUAUAUAUCAUUCGAACAGACAUAAUAUGAGCACGUUUGUUACACCACGGGAUGGGAGUCAUGGGACGGGACACACGGUGUUAUAAUAAGAAUAAGAAUUAAAUUCAGUUUACCCCAUGAGGUUUGAGAGUAACUUCAUGUUAAUCCCUAUACUUUCAAUUUCAUCAGUUUACCCCUCAAAUUUUUGAAUUUCCCUCAACCGUGACCAAUGUCUCAUCUUCUGUCCAAAUCAGACGUUAAUUGCUGACGUGGACCCAAUCUCAUGAGUUAAAUUAUGUUUGUACCCGAAGCUUAGAAAAUUUUCAACUUAGUUAGGGAUAAAAAGGAAUGAUUUUUUAAUUUUUUUUUCACUAGUUUUUUUGUUAAAUGACAAUUUUAACCUUAACAAUGGGGCUCGUAUCUAGAAUUAACGAUCAAUUCAAACAAAAUAUAAGAAUUUGGUCACGACAGACAAAAAUUAAAGAGUUCAGGGGGUAAACGGAUGAAAUUAAAAGUGUAGGGAUUAACAUAAAGUUACCCUCAAACCAUAAGAGGGUAAACUGAAUUUAAUUCUAAGAAUAAACCCAUGUUUGGCACAAGGACUGGGUUUAAUGUGCAUACAGAGUCCCUGAUACCACUCCACACCGUCUUCCAUAGCGGUCCCAAAAUUGGUGGAUUCUGCUUGUCUGCUUGGGUAAGCAUUUGCUUGGAUUUGCUUGGAUUCACCGAUUGGUCACACGUCAUUUACGUACAAUCUAAUGGACAAUAAUCAAGAAGUCCAAAACACAAAUCUUACACCACACAUAGCGUAUCUCUCUUCCUGCUGAAGAGAUUGAGAUGGGCAUGGUAUUUGACUAUUUGGCGGUGGUUCGGCGAAUGUUGUAUGAGACUUGAAGUAAUGAGAGACUAGUAUCCGGCGAGAGGUGAGCGUCGCCGGAAGCUUGAGUUAUGACAUUGAAGGCCCAGAAGAAGCAGAUUGGACUGCAAACUAGGCAACCGCGAAUAAAGGAGGACUGGGUUGUUGAUCGAAGGGGAGAUGUGAGUAUCAGGAGAUGAUUAUUGCGAUACUGAAUGGCUGGGUUGCAUAAUGGGGAUCUGAUUUGGGUUUAAUUGAAAUUGGGUGGCCAUUGCUUCGUAUCGAAUCGGACCCGAAAGCUAAAAACCGGAUGACGAUGGUUUUGAUUAUGAUAAUAAUCGUUUACGUAUCUUACAUCCUCAUGGAGAUGCAAGGUAGUUCAUACAUACAAUUGAUGUCAUAUAUCUGAGUUUAUGAGGAUAUGAUCAACAGAGCAAGUGGUUGCAUCUGGAACCAGAAAAGAGAAAGAAAAAAGAGCAAGAGGAAGAGGAUGGAGUUGCCAAAGGCUGAUCUGGUGUGGCAGGGUAACUUUUGUGUUUUGGUCCUCUUUAAUUCGUGUCCAUUGGAUUGCUCAGAGAUGACGUGUCAUCCUGUGAGUGAUGUCCAAGUAGAUCCAAGCAAAUACUUGUCUAAGCAGAUAAGCCGAAUCCAAAAUUGGUGGGUUCGUGGAAACCCUUUGUGUUUUGACGCUGAGUGCAUCUUUAGUAAACUUUUUAUUUUGAUUUUUUAGCUAUUUUAGAGAGCGUGUUUAGUUUUUCUGGAUGUUUUAGGAGCUCCAGCAUAAUAGUCAAACUUGAGCUAUAUUUAGCUAGCGAGAUAAUUUAAAUGAGACUAAUUAUAAUUUAUUACAUUCUUUUAAGAUAUUUUAGGUGAUAUAUAAAUACAUUUAAACUAUUUAAUCUUUAUUUGAAGAAUAAUAUUAAUGUAAUGCUAGAUAAAAUAGAAAACAUUGAUACAUACACAUUUCUAAAGUGACUAGUCAAAAUAAAUUUGACAAAAAUUUAAUUCAAUUAUGGCUAGCAUUGCUAAAGAUGCUCUGAAAACUUAUUUCUCUUCUUCUCCUCGCCUCGGCCUCAUUGAUCUCUCUCAUUCUUCUUUAAAUUUCUUCUCUAAUCGAAUCCUUAUCUUCUCUCAAAUUGGGUUUUUGCAGAUCGUGACUCCAUCUGAGAUUGGAUUUUCGUGAAUUGGGACUCCAUUUCAGAUUGGAGAUUUGCAAAUUGUGACUCCAUCUCAGAUUGGGAAUUCGCAAUCUCGACUCCAUCUCUGAUUUGCUAAGAAUUAUGUUUGAUUUGGUGUAUGGGUGGCUUGAAAUGGUAAGAAUUGAGAUCAUUAUCAUGUUUUUGCUUUUCUGUUUCUUUUUCUUUUCUUUUCUUUUCUUUUUUGGCCUUGUUUGGUUGGCAGGAAACCAUGAUAUGGGAAAUAAAUUAAUUUGGUUUUCCAUUUCAAGAGGUUGAUUGGUUGUACAUAGAGACAAGAAAGGAAACAAAAAAAGAGAUGGAAAUUGACUUCCUCAUAAAACCUGAAUUCAAUUACUUUGUCAAGAGGUGGUAUUCCAAUUCCAUUCCCAUUGUCAAAGCCACAAUUACGAGAAAAUUUUAAGUGCUACGAGAGGACCACAUGGCAGUCUGAUGUGGUCCUACAUUCUAAUCAAAUUUAGAUAUGUGGAUUUUUUACAACUAAAAUUUUAACUAAUAUUUUCUAUUUUUUGUGAAAUGACAUUCAUAGGUAUUUAGCAAGUUCAACCUGGGGUUUAGGGUAUAGGGUUUAGGGUUAGGGUUUAAGGGUUUAGGGAUUAGGGUUUAGUAUUUAAAAAACAACAUAAAACCCAAAAUAGUCUUUGACAAAAUAGCUGAAAUAAUUUUUCAUGAAGAAAAUGCACAUGUCUAAAUUUAAUUGGAAUGUAGAACCACGUCAGACUGUCACAUAGUCCUCCCGUAACAUUGAAAAAUUUCUCCACAAUUACAUAAAUUAUCCUCUAAUAAAUUUUAAUGUUGUGCGUAUUUAGAAAUUAUAAAGGGACAUUAUUGAAAAAUAAAACUUUAUAUUUCAUUAUAAUGACUUACCAAAUAUUACAAUAGGAAUUAAAAUACUUGAUUUCAUCAUUUAAUUUCCAAUAUGUACCAAACAUCCAUAUGGAAAUACCAAAACAUAUUCUAUUCCAUAUCUGUUUUGGAAAGGAAAAUACAUUUAUGUCUCAUUUUUACUUUCUUGCUAACCAAACGGGGCAAAUGUAUCUGUUUAAGGAAAGUUUUGUUCAACAUUAUGAUGUGGUUAGGUAUUUGUUUUUUUAGAUAGAUGUUGAAUGUUGUUAAUUGUUGAUCAUCAGUUUGUUGUAGAAAUUUUUUUCUUUCUUCUGCAUACUUCUUUCUUCUGCAUACUGAAUUAGUCCAAAGCUUUAAAAUAUUACCAAACGUGAGUCAGGCAUCUUAUGGAAAUAAGUUAGGCUUGAGGAAAGCUGGACUCUUGUAGAAGUUAAGCAUGUCUAAGAAAGUCAUGUGUAACAAACGUGCCCUAUAUGAGUUGAUCAUAGAAACAAUACAUCCAACACAUUAUUUACUUGAUCAUUGAAUGCAAAUACACCAUGAUUGAUAAAGGUUUCCCUCAAGCCCUCAGCUCUCUUCACAUAUUGCCAAAUUGAUUCACUUUUUCAAAACUUGAGAAUGGCAACACUGGGUUUCAUUAUUACUAGCCUUUUACCCGUGCAUAUUUGCACGGAAUGACGAUCACGAACACCUAAAAAUAAUCGUGAACAGUUAAAUAAGUUUAACAUAUUAUACAGUUAUACGGCCUACUAACUGAUAGUUUUUUUUUUUUGAAUAACGAGAGCUUGAAUGGCAGACCUCACGCCAUAACCAUUAAUAAAACCUCAGAAUACAAGGGGGGACAUUGUGCCUAAACCCUAUACUAUAACAACCUAAAAUAAUAUAGGUAUGUCUACAAAUUCUAUGCAUUCUAACAAACACCAUUUAACAAAGAAUGCAUUAUUGAUUACUCUAUUUGCUUUAUAAUUUUGACGACAAACUGGAAAAAUACUGCUAAAAAAGAGUCAUAAGUUAUCAUGUCUAUCAGCUUUCUAGCUAUGAUGCCACUAAAAAUUAUCAGUAAUCCUAAAUUUCCUCAUGCCACUAGAUGGUUGCGACAAUUUGACAAAAUAAAGAACUCACCGCCUCAUUACGGCAAACAUGGCACGAUGCGUGCGCUUACCAGAACAUAGCCCACCAGUAUCUAAAAUAACCAGACAAAAACCAAAAAGAGCAACCUACUUGUGACUUAUAAGAAACUGAUGACUUAUUUCAGCUGCUAACCAAACGAAACUAGGAAACUAAAAAACUUGACCAAAAUAAUAAUAAAAACCCAAAUCCAGGCCAAAUCCAGGCCUUGAAGCCCACUGUCGAAUAGAAGCCCACUAGCCCACAAAUUCUGGCCCAAAGCAGCAACUGCACCCCUUUCUCUUUCCCGCCGCCGUGAAGAAGCCGGCGCCGUCCUUGUCCGAUUCCCACCACUCCUCCUGUCGCCCUCCACCUUAUCUCGUGUCCAGAUUGACCCCCACACCAUGUCCACCACAAACCAACUCUCCCCCCGCCGAACUCCGAUCAAGACCACGUACACAUCCACUCCACCUAGGUAGAUCCAAACCCCAAAUAGAAAUUAGAUCGCCGCCAGCAAUCCUCCAUCGACGACUGCUGGACACCGUCCCUCUCCUACCCAGAGUCGCGACCACCCCGAUCUCCCACCACUGAACCGUCACCAUCUCAUACGCCGCUGCCGACUUCAGCCAAAAGAGCCGUCUGGAACCUCCACCCGAUCGCAGCCUCAGCACGCUAGACUCACCCACACAACACACAUCCCAUCCGACCACCCAAAGCCAACGCUGAAGAGGCUGGAGGCCAUCCCCAAAGCCCUGGAGCAGCCGGACAGGCAAAGGAAUGGCCGGCGGCGCGAUCAAACCCGGACAGGCGAGGGUAUUGAGAGAGAGAGAGUUUUUAUUUUUUUUUAUGAUUAUCUAUUUAUUUAAUCAUUUUAAUUUUAUUUGUAAACUUAUUAUUUUAAUUUGUUUCACGAUUAGUUCUCAUUUUAGAUGAUGAGAUGUGUUAAUAAUAACACAAAAAAUGUGUGUUAAUAACACUAGCCUUAAUUAUAAUAACUCUUAUUUUUGUUUGUAUUAAUUGAUUUAUUAAAGAUGAUAAUAAAAGUUCACAAUUUGGUAAACGUUUUAGGAGAGCCUGAUUUUAUAAUAAAGAUUAACAUUGAUUUUAUAGUAAAGAUUAACAUUGAAUGAGAAAUUAAACCGAAGUCCGAUCCUUCUAUUUAUUGUUUGUUUUGGAACCUAAGCCCAUUGGUUGACAUUCUACUACUUUCUACCUGAUGAAAACACUGGGAAGCUUUGCUCAUUCCUAAAGAAGUUGCCAGGAUCAACCAAGGUCUUAACAUGAACAAGUCUCCUAAAGUUGUUCUUGAAGUACUUCGAACCCCAAAUGCUUGCUUGUGCAUAGCUUGUAUUGCCAUCACUGUUCCUACCCAGAUCAAGAUCCCUAUAAUUCAGAUAGGCAGCUCUAGGAGAUUUUGAAACAUACGGUGCCAUGUAUGCAUACAACCUUCUCAUAAACCUAACAUACUUCUGAGUAUCCUUGCCAUCACCCCAAGUAACCAUAUACUGGAUUUUAUAUAUGUUUCCUUGUCGAUGUGGGAAAGCUGUUUCUGAAUCGGAAAUCUCACUCAUUUUUCCUCCAUAUGGUGUCAAUAUCAAAUAGGAUGUGUUUGCUUCAAGCAACCUCUGCCAUAAGCCUUCCAAGCCAGCUUCUGAGAUGGGUUUAGUCACAUAGUCUGAUUUUGCUUUGUAGAAGAGGCUGAAUUGCUGGCGCUUCAGCAAAAUUUCUAAGGAUUCGUGAAUAGAGUAGCCAGCAAAGUCUAAAACAGAUUGAAUCCAACUCAUCUCGGUGCAAUGGCUUCUUUUUAAACUCAACUCUGGGAAAUUGUCCUGCAUCAGUUGGAGAAGUGUCUCAACCGGGCCAAGAAACAAGGAACCGAAUUCAACUGUAAUAGUGUUGCCACCGCUUCCUAUAACUGAAUGUAGAAAAAGUUCUUCAGGAAGCUUGUCUGCAAUGUUUUGCCAUUUCAAAAGAAGUUUGGUUGCGCCUUGUUCUUUUGUCUUUGAAAUGUCGCAAACUGUUACAGUAGGGGGAACAGGAACCAGUCUAAGUUUCAAUGCUAGAAUGACUCCAAAGCUUGAUCCUCCUCCUCCUCUAAUAGCCCAAAAUAGCCCUUCUCCCAUGGAUUUUCUAUCUAGAAUUCUGCCAUUAACAUCUACAAUUCUGGCAUCAAUGACAUUGUCAGAUGCUAGACCAUAUUUUCGAAAUAUGGUUCCAAAUCCACCUCCACUGAUAUGUCCCCCAACACCAACGGUGGGACAAGACCCUGCUGGAAAGCCAUAGACUUUACUCUUCUGUGCAAUGCUGUAAUACACCUCUCCAAGAGUGGCACCUGAUUUGACCCAAGCACUCUCAUUCUCUAUGUCAACAUCGAUGGAACGAAGAUUGAACAGAUCAAUGAUGAUGAAAGGAGCUCUGGACACAUAAGAUAGGCCCUCGUAAUCGUGCCCCCCGCUUCGGCUUCUUAUUUGUAGGCCAUUUUUCUUGGAGCAAAUUACAGCUGCUUGAACAUGAGAUUCAUCAAAAGGAGUUAUGAUGGCCUCUGGUUUUGGUGUGGAAUUGUUCGAGAAUCUGAGGUUCUGUAUGGAAGAAUCUAACACUGAAGGAUAAGCUGAACUGGUUCUGGUGAGAAUGAUUUCAUUACUGGAGUUAGAGUUCUGAAUAUGGGAGGAAAGGCAUUGCACAAAGCUUUGAGAAAUGGAGCUUGAAGCUAUGGACCAAGCUGAGUUUAGAAGGAUGAAAAGUAGAGGAAAUAGCUUUGCAUGAGAG
rnacentral:lncRNA from 1 species